CAACCCGGGAUUGCCUUAGUAACGGCGAGUGAAGCGGCAAAAGCUCAAAUUUGAAAUCUGGUACCUUCGGUGCCCGAGUUGUAAUUUGGAGAGGGCAACUUUGGGGCCGUUCCUUGUCUAUGUUCCUUGGAACAGGACGUCAUAGAGGGUGAGAAUCCCGUGUGGCGAGGAGUGCGGUUCUUUGUAAAGUGCCUUCGAAGAGUCGAGUUGUUUGGGAAUGCAGCUCUAAGUGGGUGGUAAAUUCCAUCUAAAGCUAAAUAUUGGCGAGAGACCGAUAGCGAACAAGUACAGUGAUGGAAAGAUGAAAAGAACUUUGAAAAGAGAGUGAAAAAGUACGUGAAAUUGUUGAAAGGGAAGGGCAUUUGAUCAGACAUGGUGUUUUGUGCCCUCUGCUCCUUGUGGGUAGGGGAAUCUCGCAUUUCACUGGGCCAGCAUCAGUUUUGGUGGCAGGAUAAAUCCAUAGGAAUGUAGCUUGCCUCGGUAAGUAUUAUAGCCUGUGGGAAUACUGCCAGCUGGGACUGAGGACUGCGACGUAAGUCAAGGAUGCUGGCAUAAUGGUUAUAUGCCGCCCGUCUUGAAACCMGGACCAA
rnacentral:rRNA from 1 species